rnacentral:rRNA from 1 species
AACGCGAAGAACCUUACCUGGCCUUGACAUGUACGUAGUAGAAGGGCGAAAGCCUGACGAGGUAGCAAUACCAGCGUACACAGGUGCUGCAUGGCUGUCGUCAGCUCGUGUCGUGAGAUGUUGGGUUAAGUCCCGCAACGAGCGCAACCCUUGUCAUUAAUUGCCAUCAUUUGGUUGGGCACUUUAAUGAGACUGCCGGUGACAAACCGGAGGAAGGUGGGGAUGACGUCAAGUCCUCAUGGCCCUUAUGGGUAGGGCUUCACACGUCAUACAAUGGUCGGUACAGAGGGUUGCUAAGCCGCGAGGUGGAGCCAAUCCCAGAAAACCGAUCGUAGUCCGGACCGCAGUCUGCAACUCGACUGCGUGAAGUCGGAAUCGCUAGUAAUCGCGGAUCAGAAUGCCGCGGUGAAUACGUUCCCGGGUCUUGUACACACGC